UACGUAGGGUGCAAGCGUUGUCCGGAAUUAUUGGGCGUAAAGAGCUCGUAGGCGGUUUGUCGCGUCUGCUGUGAAAACUCGGGGCUUAACUCCGGGCCUGCAGUGGGUACGGGCAGACUAGAGUGCGGUAGGGGAGACUGGAAUUCCUGGUGUAGCGGUGAAAUGCGCAGAUAUCAGGAGGAACACCGGUGGCGAAGGCGGGUCUCUGGGCCGUAACUGGACGCUGGAGGAGCGAAAGCGUGGGGAGCGAACAGG
rnacentral:rRNA from 1 species